CUUUCCACCAGGGAAGACUGCAAAGGCCAGAGAUCAUUUUCACAACUAAAGGUCGUCAUCUGGGCAAAUGAACCACUCUGACUUGGAGAUUAGGGGCUCAGACAGCCGUGGAUGAGAGUCCAGCUCUACUACUUAUUAGCCUUGAUUAGUUGACUGUCACUGCCGAGACCAGCUUCUGAGUAAUUUCAGCCCAGGCAUCAGACUAGUGAGGGAAGGAGCUUCCAGGUGAUACCACCUCCCAGCCAUUUGCCAUCUUUAGCGCCAAAGGAAUUGCGUCCUCCCACUUGGAUUGAAUGCAGAGCCGCAGCCAUCUAAAAGGAGGAUUUGGGGGGAGCAUGGAGUAGAAAAUGAGGAAGGGGCAGGAUAUGACAGGGGAGACAAUAAAAAGGUCAACACAGCUCCCACCUCGAAGCAGCUGCCAGUUUAUUACAUGAAGUGUCAGGCUGUGGACUGCAGGCAUGCCAUUUUGUCUUCAAGAACAGAAUUCCCGGGCACACGAAUGAUUCCAGGGUUCCUCCAGCACUUUGGUAUUACUUGAAAGCAAUCUUAAGGGAUCUAGAAUGAACCAACGCCCAAAAAGGAUCCCUUAGCAGCGGUGAUAUCAAAGAAACACUUUUGAAGAACUAAUUUUCCACCCAGAUUUCCCCAAUUUUAAAAGCAAUGGGCAAAGCCUUCUCCACUCCUAAACUUCCUGGAACUGUCUUUUGGCUAUAUCAGGCCCCUGAAGUUAGAGUCUUUGAAAGACUCCAAACUCCAAAUUCUAUGCUUUUAUUCUCAGGCUCCUCAUAAUUCUACAGCACACCAGACUGCUGACCACUCUCCGUACCACUUUUAAAUUAUUUCUUCCCACAGCUUUCUUAACAAUGAACCUUUGAAAUCUUUUUAGUUUUCCAUUUAUUUUGCUACCUUUCCUCUGUCCUAGCUCUAAAAUGAAGAUCCUCUAAGGUUCUACAGUUUACUUCUUGUAUUCUCCUUUGUAAGUCAUCUCCAAGACGAUGUCCAAAUCCAUCACCAUUAAAAUUAAUAGUUUCCUCACCCACAACACUUAAUAUUUUAAAAAAAAUACUUUUCAUUGUAUUAUAAUUACUUGAUACAUACAUAUUUGCUCUGUGAGUUCCUUAUUCAUCAUAUUAGUGCCUGACAAUAAAUGUGUGCUGGAUUGAGCUGAA
rnacentral:lncRNA from 1 species